rnacentral:rRNA from 1 species
CAAUAGCGUAUAUUUAAGUUGCUGCAGUUAAAAAGCUCGUAGUUGGAUUUUGGCUGAGAACGAUCGGUCCGCCGUUAGGUGUGCACUGAUUGGUCUCAGCUUCCUGGUGAGGAGGUGUGCUUCACGGCCACUUAGUCACCGUGGUUACUUUGAAAAAAUUAGAGUGUUCAAAGCGGGCUUACGCUUGAAUAUAUUAGCAUGGAAUAACACCAUAGGACUCCUGUCCUAUUUCGUUGGUCUCGGGACGGGAGUAAUGAUUAAGAGGAACAGUUGGGGGCAUUCGUAUUUCAUUGUCAGAGGUGAAAUUCUUGGAUUUAUGAAAGACGAACUUCUGCGAAAGCAUUUGCCAAGGAUGUUUUCAUUGA